CCUGGAGUCUCUCACUGAGUGGCCCAUCCUCAGAGUUCAUCCACUCCGUGGCCUGCGUCAGAGCCUUGCUCCAUUUCAUGGCUGAGUCGCGUUCUGCUGUGUGUGGUGCCGGGCGACCUGCUCCCCUGCUGAUGGGCGCUCAUGUGGCCUCCUCUCUGGCUAUUGGGAGUCGUGCUGCUGUGGACAUUGGUGUGCAGGUGUUGGUGUGGACGUUGGUGUGCAGGUGUUGGUGUGGACGUUGGUGUGCAGGUGCUGGUGUGGACGUUGGUGUGCAGGUGUUGGUGUGGGUGUUGGUGUGGAUGUUGGUGUGCAGGUGUUGGUGUGGGUGUUGGUGUGCAGGUGCUGGUGUGGGUGUUGGUGUGGGUGUUGGUGUGCAGGUGCUGGUGUGGAUGUUGGUGUGGGUGUUGGUGUGCACGUAUUGGUGUGCAGGUGUUGGUGUGGAUGUUGGUGUGGACAUUGGUGUGCAGGUGUUGGUGUGGGUGUUGGUGUGGACGUUGGCGUGCAGGUGUUGGUGUGGGUGUUGGUGUGCAGGUGUUGGUGUGGACAUUGGUGUGCAGGUGCUGGUGUGGAUGUUGGUGUGCAGGUGCUGGUGUGGACGUUGGUGUGCGGGUGUUGGUGUGCGUGUUGGUGUGCAGGUGUGGGUGUUGGUGUUGGUGUGGGUGUUGGUGUGCAGGUGGUGUGCAGGUGUGGGUGUUGGUGUGGGUGUUGGUGUGCAGGUAUUGGUGUGGACAGUGGUGUGCAGGUGCUGGUGUGGACGUUGGUGUGCAGGUGCUGCUGUGGACGGUGUGCAGAUGUUGGUGUGGACGUUGGUGUGCAGGUGUCGGUGUGGGUGUGCAGGUGUUGGUGUGCAGGUGUUAGUGUGCAGGUGUUGGUGUGGAUGUUGGUGUGGGUGUUGGUGUGCAGGUGUUAGUGUGCAGGUGUUAGUGUGCAGGUGUUGGUGUGGAUGUUGGUGUGCAGGUGCUGCUGUGGACGGUGUGCAGGUGUUGGUGUGGACGUUGGUGUGCAGGUGUCGGUGUGGGUGUUGGUGUGCAGGUGUUGGUGUGGAUGUUGGUGUGCAGGUGUUAGUGUGCAGGUGUUAGUGUGCAGGUGUUGGUGUGGAUGUUGGUGUGCAGGUGUUGGUGUGGAUGUUGGUGUGGGUGUUGGUGUGCAGGUGUUGGUGUGGAUAUUGGUGUGCAGGUGUUAGUGUGCAGGUGUUGUUGAUGUUGGUGUGGGUGUUGGUGUACAGGUGUUGGUAUGCAGAUGGUGUAGAUGUUGGUGUGCAGGUGUUGGUGUGGGUGUUGGUGUGCAGGUGUUGGUGUGUAGGUGUUGGUGUGCAGGUGCUGCUGUGGACAUGCGUUUUUGUUUCCCUUGGGCCGACACAUGGGUGUGGAAUCGCGGGUCCAAGGGUACAUUCUGUUUAGCCUUCUCAGGAAUCGCCUGCCCGUCUCCACGGCGGCUGCACCCUUCAACAUUCCCACCAGCCGUGCAUGAGGGCUGCCUCUGGUCUUGGAAAAGACUCUCGGAAUAGUUGCUCACUUUCUCCAUUUCGACCCUGGAGCCGUCGC
rnacentral:lncRNA from 1 species